CAACCCAGACCGUCAGCUAAGGUCCCAAAGUCAUGGUUAAGUGGGAAACGAUGUGGGAAGGCUUAGACAGCUAGGGAGGUUUGGCUUAGAAGCAGCCACCCUUUAAGAAAGCGUAAUAGCUCACUAGUCGAGUCGGCCUGCGACGGAAGAUGUAACGGGGCUCAAACCAUACACCGAAGCUACGGGUUCAUCCUUUGGAUGAGCGGUAGAGGAGCGUUCUGUAAGCCUGUGAAGGUGAGUUGAGAAGCUUGCUGGAGGUAUCAGAAGUGCGAAUGCUGACAUGAGUAACGACAAUGCGAGUGAAAAACUCGCACGCCGAAAGACCAAGGUUUCCUGCGCAACGUUAAUCGACGCAGGGUUAGUCGGCCCCUAAGGCGAGGCAGAAAUGCGUAGUCGAUGGGAAACGGGUUAAUAUUCCCGUACUUCUAGUUACUGCGAUGGAGGGACGGAGAAGGCUAGGCCAGCACGGCGUUGGUUGUCCGUGUUUAAGGUGGUAGGCUGAGAUCUUAGGUAAAUCCGGGGAUCUUAAGGCCGAGAGCUGAUGACGAGCGUUCUUUUAGAAUGCGAAGUGGUUGAUGCCAUGCUUCCAGGAAAAGCUUCUAAGCUUCAGGUAACUAGGAACCGUACCCCAAACCGACACAGGUGGUUAGGUAGAGAAUACCAAGGCGCUUGAGAGAACUCGGGUGAAGGAACUAGGCAAAAAUGGCACCGUAACUUCGGGAGAAGGUGCGCCGGUGAGGGUGAAGUAUUUACUACGUAAGCCCAUGCCGGUCGAAGAUACCAGGCCGCUGCGACUGUUUAUUAAAAACACAGCACUCUGCAAACACGAAAGUGGACGUAUAGGGUGUGACGCCUGCCCGGUGCCGGAAGGUUAAUUGAUGGGGUUAGCGCAAGCGAAGCUCUUGAUCGAAGCCCCGGUAAACGGCGGCCGUAACUAUAACGGUCCUAAGGUAGCGAAAUUCCUUGUCGGGUAAGUUCCGACCUGCACGAAUGGCGUAACGAUGGCGGCGCUGUCUCCACCCGAGACUCAGUGAAAUUGAAAUCGCUGUGAAGAUGCAGUGUAUCCGCGGCUAGACGGAAAGACCCCGUGAACCUUUACUAUAGCUUUGCACUGGACUUUGAGCUUGCUUGUGUAGGAUAGGUGGGAGGCUUUGAAGUGGGGACGCCAGUUCUCAUGGAGCCAUCCUUGAAAUACCACCCUGGCAACCUUGAGGUUCUAACUCUGGUCCGUUAUCCG
rnacentral:rRNA from 1 species